rnacentral:rRNA from 1 species
GUACGGAGGAUGCGAGCGUUAUCCGGAUUUAUUGGGUUUAAAGGGUGCGUAGGCGGGAUUAUAAGUCAGCGGUGAAAGUUUGAGGCUCAACCUUAAAAUUGCCGUUGAAACUGUUUUUCUUGAGUAUAUUUGAAGUAGGCGGAAUUCGUGGUGUAGCGGUGAAAUGCAUAGAUAUCACGAAGAACUCCAAUUGCGAAGGCAGCUUACUAAACUAUAACUGACGCUGAAGCACGAAAGCGUGGGUAUC